CAUAAUUAAAGGGUGAGCUGUAAUCCCAGUUCUUGAGAGGCUGAGGCAAGAGGACAAUUGAAAAUGCAGAGUCCAACCUGGGCCUACAUGGGGAAUUUCAAUGCCAGAUGUGGGUCCCUGCCAACAGUUGCCCUGCCAAUGGCUGGGCAGUGGGACAGAGACGGGACUUUGAGGAUUCCUGAAGAGGAAACACAGGACCCAGAGAAGGAGAGUCACCAACACAACAACAGAGCUGUGGAAGACAGAGAACCAACCAUGAAAAGAAGUUUAAAGACAUUUAUUGUUUGUGUAUAUGAAAUGAGUGUGUAUGAGCAUGGAAUGUAUGCACUGACCUGAGAUGCCAGAAGGGGAUGUUGGAACCCAGGCGCUGCAGUUACAGGCCAUUGUGAGCAACCUGAUAUGG
ensembl:lncRNA